GUGGGCGUGCUGGAGUGGUCAUCGGGCAUGAUUAGAAAUCAUGUGGGCUCUACUCGCGCAGGUUCGUAUCUUGCCCUUACA
rnacentral:tRNA from 1 species